GGGAUGGUGGCGCAGUUGGCUGGCGCGGUGGUCUCAUAGCUGGAUGUGAGUGAUCCUGAGGUCGAGAGUUCGAACCUCUCUCACCCCA
rnacentral:tRNA from 1 species